rnacentral:rRNA from 1 species
GAUGAACACUAGCGGCAGGCCUAAUACAUGCAAGUCGAACGGUGUAGCAAUACACAGUGGCGCACGGGUGCGUAACACGUAUGCAACCUAACUAUUAUUGGGGGAUAGCCUUUGGAAACGGAGAUUAAUACCGCAUAAGACAGUGACAUGGCAUCAUGUAGCUGUUAAAGCUUUGGCGAUAAUAGAUGGGCAUGCGUCCAAUUAGUUAGUUGGUGAGGUAAUGGCUCACCAAGACGAUGAUUGGUAGGGGAUCUGAGAGGAUAAUCCCCCACACUGGCACUGAGAUACGGGCCAGACUCCGACGGGAGGCAGCAGUAGUGAAUAUUGGGCAAUGGACUGAAGUCUGACCCAGCCAUGCCGCGGGCAGGAUGACGGCGUUAUGCGUUGUAAACUGCUUUUUUAUAGGAAGAAGAAGCCCUUGCGAGGGAAAGUGACGGUACUAUAAGAAUAAGCACCGGCUAACUCCGUGCCAGCCGCCGCGGUAACAC